UACAGCCGAAUCCAGCCCAGGAGCGGGGGAACCAAAGUUUUGGGGUGAACGCUUUCCUUAUCUGUGCAGAUGACAAGAGUCACGGCAGAUGAAAUUGGCGAGGGUGGUCUUCUCUACCCUAACCCGGCAGCUAACCUCGUAGGCGCAUCGAGAGAGGA
rnacentral:sRNA from 1 species